rnacentral:rRNA from 1 species
CCUACGGGAGGCAGCAGUGGGGAAUAUUGCGCAAUGGGCGGAAGCCUGACGCAGCGACGCCGCGUGGGGGAUGACGGCCUUCGGGUUGUAAACCUCUUUCAGCAGGGACGAAGCCGCAAGGUGACGGUACCUGCAGAAGAAGCACCGGCCAACUACGUGCCAGCAGCCGCGGUAAUACGUAGGGUGCAAGCGUUGUCCGGAAUUAUUGGGCGUAAAGAGCUCGUAGGCGGUUUGUUGCGUCGGCUGUGAAAUCCCGAGGCUCAACCUCGGGUCUGCAGUCGAUACGAGCAAACUGGAGUGUUGCAGGGGAGACUGGAAUUCCUGGUGUAGCGGUGAAAUGCGCAGAUAUCAGGAGGAACACCGGUGGCGAAGGCGGGUCUCUGGGCAACAACUGACGCUGAGGAGCGAAAGCGUGGGGAGCGAACAGGAUUAGAUACCCUGGUAGUCCACGCCGUAAACGUUGGGCGCUAGGUGUGGGGCUCAUUCCACGAGUUCCGUGCCGCAGCUAACGCAUUAAGCGCCCCGCCUGGGGAGUACGGCCGCAAGGCUAAAACUCAAAGGAAUUGACGGGGGCCCGCACAAGCGGCGGAGCAUGUUGCUUAAUUCGAUGCAACGCGAAGAACCUCACCUAGGCUUGACAUGCACGGAAAUCUCGCAGAGAUGCGGGGUCCGUAAGGGCCGUGCACAGGUGGUGCAUGGUUGUCGUCAGCUCGUGUCGUGAGAUGUUGGGUUAAGUCCCGCAACGAGCGCAACCCUCGUCCUAUGUUGCCAGCACGUCAUGGUGGGGACUCAUAGGAGACUGCCGGGGUCAACUCGGAGGAAGGUGGGGAUGACGUCAAAUCAUCAUGCCCCUUAUGUCUAGGGCUGCAAACAUGCUACAAUGGCUGGUACAAAGGGCUGCGAUACCGCGAGGUGGAGCGAAUCCCAAAAAGCCGUCUCAUUUCGGAUUGGGGUCUGCCACCUCAACCCCAU